rnacentral:rRNA from 1 species
UACGGGGGGGGCAAGCGUUAUCCGGAAUUACUGGGCGUAAAGCGCACGCAGGCGGUCUUUUAAGUUUGACGUGAAAGCUCCCGGCUUAACUGGGAGAGGUCGUUGAAUACUGGAAGACUUGAGGCAAUGAGAGGGGUGUAGAAUUCCCGGUGUAGUGGUGGAAUGCGUAGAUAUCGGGGGGAAUACCAGUGGCGAAAGCGGCACCCUAGCGUUAGCCUGACGCUCAUGUGCGAAAGCGUGGGGAGCGAACGGG